UAUUGCUAAAGAUUAAUCGCUAUGAAAUCGGGAUGCGUCCCAUUAGCUAGUUGGUAGGGUAACGGCCUACCAAAGCUCCGAUGGGUAACUGGUCUGAGAGGAUGAUCAGUCACACGGACACUGAGACACGGGUCCGACUCCUACGGGAGGCAGCAGUAAGGAAUAUUGGACAAUGGGCGAAAGCCUGAUCCAGCCAUGCCGCGUGGAGGAAGAAGGCCCUCUGGGUCGUAAACUCCUUUUAUCCAGGGCUAAAAUGGGGCUAUACGCCGUAUUGAAGGUACUGGGGGAAUAAGCCACGGCUAACUACGUGCCAGCAGCCGCGGUAAUACGGAGGGUGCAAGCGUUAUCCGGAUUCACUGGGUUUAAAGGGUGCGUAGGUGGAUUGAUAAGUCAGUGGUGAAAGCCCCGAGCUCAACUUGGGAAUUGCCAUUGAUACUGUUAGUCUUGAGUUCGGUUGAGGUAGGCGGAAUAAGUCAUGUAGCGGUGAAAUGCUUAGAUAUGACUUAGACACCGAUUGCGAAGG
rnacentral:rRNA from 1 species